rnacentral:rRNA from 1 species
AUGAAUGGAGAGAUGGCGUCUGUGGCGGCGGGGAAGGAGAUGGCGCGGGCGUCCUACAUCCGGAUCAAGCACGAGGAGGAGCGGCGAGGGCCCGAGGGCCGGGUCUUCUCGGCCACACGCGCGCCGAUGUCGCCGCACGUCGACCAGAUCCUCGCCGGGCGCGCCUCCUUCGCCGACCUUGCUGCACAGCACUCCGGCUGCUCCUUCGCCCGCCGCGGCGGCAACCUAGGCUUAAAUCUGAAAUUGUUGUGUAUACCAUAUGUGCAUGCGGUGCGUAUGGUAGAACCAAUUGAUUUGCAGAAGAUGACAUGA